CGCUACCGCAGCAUCAGUUAAGCGUCGUCCCUCCCAGAAAUAAGCUGUGAAAGAUAGCAGCGUCAAUCUCAUUUUGUGCUCACCACAGCUCACAUCGAUGCCUUGGCCACUCCUGAGAACGUUGGCGAGAUACCCGACGAGAACACCGCUGCAUCAGACGUGGGCGAGAGGGGACCGCAGCCAGCGCCAGAAGUGAAAAGACGCGGCGGAGCUCCCGAGUGGACACCAGGAGAAACCAAACUGCUAUUAGAUUACUAUUACAAGUACUUUCCGCAGGUGGGCCCAUUCAAAAAGUUUUAAAACAAAAAGAUGCUUUUUCAGAAGGUUUCACAGGAUUUGGCCGAGGUUCUUGGAUGUAACAAAACGCCACAGCAGUGUGAAAAUCGCUAUAAAACAGUAAUGAGGCAGAGGAAAAGGGCAAGUGACAACAACAACAAAUCAGGUGCUUCACCUCAUCCUGUCCCAUUUGACGAUGAAAUGCAAAAAAUCCAAAGCAUUGAUGACAGUCUCGAGCCAGAGAUUCAAAGGGAGUCUUUUGGAGUGACCCACAAGUCAACGUCAUCAAGCUCUGACAGCUCAGCUGAUCCACUUUCACCUGUGCCUGAAAUGUCCAGUGUUCCUUCAAGCAAUUCAGAAAGUGGUGAAAGUAUGAAAGGGUCAACAGAGGUGAGGAAAAGGGAAUGCUGUGCCAGUACUGGUCGUAUGCAGCAGAUGCAAUUUUUUUUUAUCAAAUGAGGGCUAUAAGCGCACAGCGAAUAGCUCAAAGGGAAAAGAGAGAAGA